rnacentral:lncRNA from 1 species
UGUGUUUCUGACUAUGAAUGAAUUUCAAGGCUUAGUGAUCAGUGAACAAGAAAAACUCAUUCUGUACCAGGUAGUGUUCCCAUUGCUUUAAAGCCCUUACAAUUGCAUUGAAUUCUUGCUCAUAGGUACUCCACUUUUGCCGACGUCACUUAACUUUUUCUGAAAAGAAAGCCACGGGUCUCUUCCCUUGAGAAAGGAUAGCCCCAAUAUCAAUACCACUGGCAUCACACUCCACCUCAAAGAUCUUCUUGAAGCUUGGCAAGGCUAAUAUUGGAGCUAUGCAUAACUUUUCUUUGAUGAAAGCGAAGCUCUUUAUCUUGUUCCUCUCCCCAACUGAACCUUCCUUUCUUCAAAAAUUCUGUGAGAGGUGUCACGAUAGUGCUUAAAUGCCCGAUGAAUCGUCUGUAGAAAGUUGCUUACCCAUGAAAACUCCUUAUUUCAGAAACUGACUUUGGUGUUGGCCAAUCUCGAAUUGCUUUUGUCUUCUCUUCAUCUAUAUGCUGAAUCAUCAUCAUCCAUCUCUUUAGAAAAAGGAAAGGCCCCACAACAAGCCCCAGUCAAUCCUAACAGGAGUAAAGUUGACAACAACAGUCGGUUUGGGAAUAGAAGUUAGACUCAACAUGUAAGGGCUUCCUGUUGAAACCAUCCUCUUAUCAGAUUACAUCAUCUUCGCUUUUAUUGCCAUGUUAAUGGCUUCGUUCAACGUCCAAAUAUUCUGUAUCCCAAUUCUAUCUUGAAUGGACCUUCAAACCACUGGUAUACCUGUCUACAUUUUGAUCUUUAGAUUCUAAUAAAUUAUUUCGUUAUGCUAAUCGCAUAAAUUCAUUGGUGUAGUCCGACAUUGUACGAUUUCCCUGUGUGAUAUAAAAUCUGUUCAUAAGUUACAGGUAAAAAUCUAUCCAUCAAAGACUGCUUCAUCUUUCUCCAAGUUCGAAUCCAACUCUUUCCCUGUCUCCUUCGAGCAUUCUGCAAUUGACCCCACCAUACUGCUACCGCAAAUUUUAAACAGAAUGCCACCAUCUUAACCAUCUUGUCCUCUGAAAU